CCUAGGUAAGCGCUCUACCACUGAGCUAAAUCCCCAGCCCCAAAGGGUGGCAUCUUGGAAGCCUCAAGGAGCAGAAGCCCCCUAAGGUAUAAUAUGGUGAUGGUGCUUAACGAGCUUGUAGAGAUGUGGGGUAGAAUAGUGAUACUUUAUGUUCCACUGAUGGAGUAAGCUGUCAGGACAGACCACAGAGAAUGGAGCAAGCUGUGAUAAAUAAAAAGUCUGAAUAGAACUUUCAGGGAACACUGAAAGAUUUAAAGCUGUAAGGUGGUAUAAUUAAAAGUUUUUGUGAAAAAUCACUUUGGCAUUUAAGGUGAAAUUGUCUCUCCUCCAUAAGGUUGCCAUAAGACUGCAGUAACGAAUAACACAGACGACUAUACACACAAUUAACAGUGGCUGUGAUGUUUUGAAACCCAAGAAAGUCUUCCUUGGAAAGAUCUUGAAAAUAAAACGUUUUAUAAAAUGUUCAGAAAGUCCUCAGAGGCUCUUCAAACCUAUGGGUCCCAGGCAAAGAACCCUUCAUUUAAUGUUUAAUAGCCAUUAUUUUUCAGACAGUAAGAACAAUGUACUGUUUCAUUCCCUGCAAUGUCUACAUUAUUUCCCAAUAAAAAAGACACUAUAGCUGAUCAGUAUUGAAAGAAAACAAAUUUCCUGAGAUCUGACUUGGUGAAAUCCCAUUUCAAAUGUCUCUGUUCUUCAAAAAAUUGACAAAUACCAAGAACCAGCAAAGUAAAUAUCUGAAAAUUGCAUCAAAACGUGCAAACUUUUCUUCAGAAGACCUCUUAAAAGCUGUAGGACUAAUCAUGAAAUUCCAGUCUAAGCCAGCUUUGUAGCCUGAUUCUCCACCUAAUAACAGCUGCUGGCAAUUUUUAGAAUUGGUAACACAGUAUUUUAAGUUUCUAUUGAAUACUUGAUAUAUUUGGAUACACUUUUACAUAUGUAUAAUUUUAUAUGAUACUUUUAUGCAUGUUACUUCUGAGUUUUGUUUCAACUUUUGUCAUCACAAGCACACAAACACUAGUAUGUAUUUUUAUACAUGUCAUCUGGUAACUGUUACACCACUAGAGGUUAAGAUUUCUUUCCCCAGCUUCAUUUACAACCUGCUUUUGAAUUGGCCAUAAAACGUUAGGCACCAAUUUUCUCUUUGCCGACUUGAGGGUUUUUUUUUUGAAGUAUAAGUAAUACUAUUCUAAUACUAUUUUAUUCUAAUACUAAUUCUAAUACUAAUAAUAUUCUAAUACUAAUUUGAAUCAGUACACAUAUAAAUGCUAUACAUUAUAUGUAAUAUGUUAUAUAUUGUACAUAUACUUAUCUGGUUUGUAUUAUACAACUAGAUAAAAUAUCAGAAGAAAAAAUAAUAAAGACAGGAGAUCUAUAUUAAAUAUGUGCACACAGAAAAACAGAUCAAUGAACUUUGAAGAGAUGAUUAUUCAAAGCAAAAUUCAUUUUAAUCGUACUGCCUUUAAUGCAACAUCAUCGUAACCAUAUAAGUGAGGAAUGCAUCAGCAACUGAUAUAGAGAUCAAACUAAGAUGAUCUACUUCUGUUCUCCUUCUGUACAGGAGUACACACUAGCUAUUAAUAGCAGCCACAAAGCACCAAUAUCACAAGAUAUCCACCAGCAACAUGAUCAUCACAGUAAAAUUACUAAAGGUGGGCUUCUUUUUCUUGUACCAUUUUUUUCAACAAGUUUUUCUGCAUCCCUUUGAGUCCUUUACCUUUCCUGUCUAUCUCUGUAUGCAACAAUGCACUAAUGAGCUCGAUGUGUGAACUUUAUAUGUGUGUAUGCAUGUAUAUAUGUAUCCAGGUAUAGACACAUAGAUUGUUUUGGUUCGCACGAAUGUAUUUUGAAGAAAAUAUUUCAUUUUCUUACCGAAACUGUUUCGGAGGUAUGGCUAACCAGGACUGAUAGGGGCAUCAGUCUGAUGACGUGUAGUGAGGACCACUUCAGGUUUGGGCAGAAGUGAUGUUCAUGUGUAUCCCACAUGUCCCAGUGGCAAUACAGCAGCAUCUGAACUCCAUCAUCCUGCCCUUAACCCUCCCAUAUUAGCUGAGACCCAAUUGUCUUUGGAACCAACCUUCAAAUAUCAGAGGAAGAAGAAGUACAUGGUGAUAGGUUUCCACUGUGUGGCAAACUGCCCUACAUGAAAUUCAAAUCCUAGCAGUGGAAAUUGCAUUCUGAAACAAACAUUAACAUUCAUGGCUAACGCUGGAAAACAUUUUUUUCUAGAACUAACUAUUAUGCCACUCUCACUUCCUUCCUGCCCCCUCUCUACCCGGGUGUCCCUCUUUUCCUUCCUUCUUUCCAAUAAAUAUAACCAUAUUGCUUACUUUCAAACCCACAAGUUCUGGAUUUUAAAACUACAGGACAGUGUAGUAACAACCCACAAUGGCUUAUCUGUAUGUUUUGUAAAUGAUUCCCAUACAUGUCAGAAAUGCAUUUAUAUGGUUAAAAUACAAGUUGACAUGUUAAUAAUCCAGUCAUCAAGAGGACUAAAGUCCUGAAAAUACAUCAGAAUCAUUAACUAUGAGCCUAUGUACAGUGCUCUUCCAUUGUACCAACUAAGGUUCCUUCAAACUCUGUGUUGGUAGCAGGAUACUUUUAACUUAAGCUACACACCAGGAAUAAUAGGAAGCACCUAGACGAAGUUCAAUGUGUAGGUUAGCUCAGACAGUAAUUUUUCUCCUAAGAAACACAUAUUUAUCUUGCAAUCGUUCAAAUAUUAAAUUUAGCCAAUUUAAUUGCUAUAUUUUAUAACAUUUUAAAUAAUGUUAUAAUUGAAUGAAAUAUAUAAAAAGUAUUAGAUAUUGCAAAUCACAUGAGCUAUGACACAUCAAACAAACAUAUGCCCUUAUCCUCAACAAUGUGAACAAAAUAAAAAUAUCCCAUCUCAUGGAAGAAGCAAACAGUCACAGGCAUCUGUAGGUGGAAUGAAUCUCCAUGCCUUUAAAUGGACUGUCAAAUAUUAAGAACCAGACCUCAAAGAGAAGAAUGAAAUAUUAAUAUUGUCCCACCUUGUGGGAGCUCGACAUUACUUGACACUGUGCAGGGAGUGACCUUUUUGUCCUUCAGGCCAGCCCACUGGGCCUCAUCUUCUAUCGCAAAAGCCAAAUCAUCUGAUCCCAAACUAACUGUCAACUGCCUGUGAUGGUGGGGAAGCCAGACAUCAAUCAAUCAGGUUUUAUCAGACGCUCUCGUCGUUUCUCUGUUGUGCUCAUCUUAUCAUCUGACCCAGUUGUAGCCCUGACUUCAGAAGCUUAAGCAACUUCAGGACACAAUAUGCGCCUGUUUGUCCGAGAUGCACAAUGCUGAGGGGCGGGUGGUAUUUUUAGCAUCCGUGUAAUAUAUUUGCAAAUGAACUCUUGCACAUUUCAGAUGUACAGAAGUCCUGUGCUGGCUAGUCUCUCCUCCACAGAGUCUGUACUUGGCUGUGGGAUGCCCGAUACUUGCAAAAUGUACAAACAUACUUACACACAAGAGAUCCACCACAGGAAAAUGGACUGCUUUUUGUAAUAAGUAAGCAGACAGGCUACCAAAAUGAGAACUGGAAAAUGUCACUCUAAGAACUGACAGAUGAUUACAACACGAGUCAGGAUCACACUGUUGUCCCAAACAAAUACAAUGAAUUCCAAAAAUUAAGAGCCUUUGCAUGUGCUUGUGUUGACAGUGUGCUGGGGGUUGAGGGGGGUCAUGUUCCAAUCUUCAGUGCUACUGCCAAAUCUUUGUUAGCUGAUACGCCAUUUAACAACCUGCCACAGAACUUAGUCCCAUACAUAAACUACUUAAGUAAGGUAAAAUCACAAAAGUUUAGCCUUUGAAGUGCAGAAUUCAAAGUGAAUAUCUGUGUCAUAAUUGAUGCAUGUUGUAAAACAUGCAUCUAUUUAGUGGAGAUAAACCUGUGGCUUAGCAUGUGUCACUGUCUUUUUAUUAACCUUUUCUCCUUUUCUUUUGGGGAAGCAACUACUUAAACUUUAAGAUUUUUUUCUUAGAACUCCAAACAAAAAUUUUUAUGAUUAAAAACAAGAUUGGCAUCCAUAAUCAAUGUCUGCCAUUUAUCACUCGCACUAUCUAUGUUGUCAGAUGCAUUUUAAAAUAGUAUAAAAUUUAUCUGCAGAAUUUAAUCACCUAACCAUAGGUCUUAGUCAUAUAAUUAUGAGUGGCACCAAAAAAGUAGUGCAUGGUGUACUUGCAAUGGACAAAAAUUGUACAUCAUGAAAAGAUUUUGUACCUUCAGAAAUAAUAUCAUAUCAAAUGAGUCCCACUAAAUUCACCUGUUAUUAAGUUAAAUUAUAUAUGUCUUUCUUAAUAGCAAGUGCCUUUGGACUUUAAAAAUAUUUAUUUACUUAUCAUUUAUUUAUUUAUUUAUUUAUUCAUUUAUUUAUUUAGUAGGUGAAGGGGCAUGCGUGGAGGUCAGAAAGCACUCGCAGGAGCUGGUUCUCUCCUUCCACUACGUGCAUUCCAGAGAUCAAACCUCGGUCCUCAGGCAUGUGGACAAACAACGUGAGCCAUCUUGCCUUCCUGACUUUAGAUUUCUUAGCACCCAGUAAGCAAGAAUUCUCAUCACAGCACUUUUACGUGUGGGAUUUAUUACCUGGAAAAAGAAACACACUCCCACUUGAAAUCUGAAAAACAUCCAUGCUGCACCAUUGCAUGAACCUCAAGUGACAUGGCUGAACUGACUCUUGCAUAACUGAUGUGGUGAGAUCAGUCUACACCCUGGAGCUGAAUACCAAGCGUUUGACUAGUGUGUGUGAGGUCCUGGGUGAGAGCUCAUCUUCAAACAUGAUUGAUUUGUGUCACAAGCUUCAUGAGUGAGUUAUGAAUAAGAUAUUGUGAUUGAAUUAUAUCAUUAGGCUUAAAGCCACUUUCCUAAUGAGGUAAGCAAAUCAAGUAAGCAAGGGGAACAUGGGCAAUAUUGAUGGUAACAGAUGAUUGCCUAUAAUCAAUAUUUAGUUGAUAUCCUGAUAGUUUCUGAAACUUAGCUAUCUUAGUGAUAUGUAUGUAUGCAUGUAUGCAUGUAUGUAUGUAUGCAUGUAUGUAUGUGUGUAUGUAUGUAUGUAUGUAUGUAUGUGUGUAUCUAUGUAUGUAUGUGUGUAUGUAUGUAUGUAGAGGGGUUGAGUGGUCCUUUCAACUUGAACAUUUGUCACUAAGUAUUUUUAAUCUUCAAUGCUCUAGGUUACUACAGGCUGCAAUAAUUUCACAACACGGCCCCAGUAAAACAAAUAUACAUCCUCUAUCAGAAACAUGCCACUAAAGAGCACAAAACAUGGAAAUUAAAAGAGAGGUUUCAGAAUAGUAAGAGAUAAAGCAUAAAUAUUUGCUUCCAACUCCAAAUGAUGUAAUCCGUUCUUCAUUCAAGUUUAAAGACGUUUUGAAAUUAAGUGACAAAUAAAAUAAUUUUAGAGAUAAUUAUUGCUGAAAACGUGCCAAUUAAUUUAUGCUUAUAAAGUCUUUCAUGUAUAAUAUUAUACAGAUAUUAAGAAGUAAAAAAUGUUUACUCUCAAUAAGAGAUGCAAACAAAAGUUUCCAAAUGUAAAUUCAUCUAUAUCUUCAAAAGAAUUUAUACAAAAUAAUCAGGUAAACGAUGCUAGUUAAUCUUCUAAUGGGAACCAAUUUAAGAUUCAUUUUAAUAUUCAUUAAAAAAUUAAAUGAUAGCUUCUAGCUAGCUCUCAAGAAAGCUAGGUAAGCAUUGCUGCUUUAUUUACUAUUAAGAUUGCACAUAUAUGUUUAUGCAAAUGUAGAUACAUGUGUGUGUAAAUCUCCCAUUACCAAGAGCAAAAUCAUCUUGAUGAAAGCAAGUUAAAAUCAUUCAGCAUCCUCUUACAGUUUUAGGAGGCAACAGAGUCACAAAUAAAUAAAAGUAAGCAGUUGGUGGCAAAAGAUCGGAUGAACCAAAGCUUUCGUUUAUAUUAAGCAUUGUGCAAGUAAUGACCUUGUGUUUGAUAUAUAUAUAUAUGAUGUUAUCAGAAUAUUAAUUAAACUAAUAUUACCCUGUAAGCUAUUAAGAGUGCAAACUUUAAGUUUUGUGAGAACAAUGCCUGACAUGAUUAAUACUGUGGUAAAGUUUGUAGCUACUAGGCCCUCAAUGUUUGUUUUUAUAAUUUCCAUGGUCAUGAGAUUCAUAUAUAAUUUUUCUACAUACUCAGAUGUGAGCUAAUUUGGUGCCUAUAAUCUGAAGAGUUUUGAGUAUGUGAGCAUCCUAGGGACUGCUUCAUAACCUAAGGUCUCCUCACUGAAUCCCCUUUUCCUUAACAUAUAAAAUCACAAAAAUUAACAAUGGUGACAGACUGUUUUCAAAAUAUUCACUGUAAACGACUGACGUGUUUUAGGGUUCUUAGUAAGAUAGCAGGCAUUUCAUUUCAGAGGUUUAGGGACCCUUGGUUCUCUAAUUUUUUAAGGAUACUAAUCUUUUUGGAUCACUGUUCAGACCUCUUUAUUAAGAAUAAAUAUUUGCUAAUGUUAAAAAUACUCCCAAAUAAAUCCUUUCCUCUGACUUGAAAACCCACAGCAAAUGUCUCCUGCAUUAAACUCAGGACGUACUGUCUUAUGCUAGUCGUGAGCUAAAGCUGCUCUUGGUGGUACUGUCAUGAUGUGGUGGGCAUCAUAUUAAGAACAGAAAGGACGAGUUGAAGAGGCUACAGUAAUUGUCUUUCAUUUUCACAUAGGAAAUCUUGACCCCAACUCAUCUACCUAAUAAUGGCCAUAUAUUCACCUAAAAAGUAUUUCUCAAAAACAAUGAUUGCUAAGGCUUUAAAUAAUUCUGACUAGACAAGCCUCUACCUUUUGUUACCUCAAGCAGCCAGGCUGACAGUGGUGGUGCAACACCCUCUCAGGCAAGCCUCUCUCGGCAUUAAUAUUUAAAUCUUACCCAUCCCUUGUGAAUGGAAUUCAGCCUCCACUACAAACAAAAACUAAAUCAAUGUUCUUAGAGUUCAAACUAGAUCCCUAAACAGUUUGCCACUCUCUAUGCACUGAUAAGAUAAACUUUCUUUGACCCAAGAGAUGAAGUUGCCAUGACGAUCAGAGAGUCCACUUUCUAUAUUGAUAUUUUGCUGAUGUAACAACAAAUAGAACCAGAUCGUAGUGCCGAUAAUGGUGAUUAAUUAAUACUAAUAUUGAUCUCUACAAGCAAGAGACAAGGCUAUUAACUUGAAGCCUGAAAAGUCAAUUGUUACCUGUGGUAGAGAUACUAGGAGCUGAUUUGGAAGCAGAAUAAACAAAUGUGCUAUCUUCGUGCUAAUACCUUUAAAGAGUGUGUUCCAGAAUGCCAAAUAUUGCUGCAUCUGAGAUUAUUAAUUUAAUUACAUUUCAGAUUUAAACAUACAAACCCAUUAAGUAAUACAUACUUACUACUUAGUCUAUGGUGGAAAGACAUGCUCUGGCUACCUGAAGUCAGAGACUUCUGCUACUCUUUAUUUCCGGGAGAAUGAAGUGAUAAUUUUACACAGUGGCAGGCUUUGAGUUAGUCUGGGUUUCAAAAACAUCAGCUGUGCUUGAAAUGUC
rnacentral:sRNA from 1 species